AGUACUAGUAGUACGUGUUUUAGUACAAGUAAUACUAGUGGUAUUACUAGUAGUACGUACUAUUUGUCCUAGUAGUAC
rnacentral:tRNA from 1 species